GUGGCUGUCUAAUAAACUGACUGUUUGUUCACUCAGGUCUUGUGUUGUGUGGGUUGGUCGCGUACACCGGUACCUCUGCUGAGCGAGCUGAUUCCCCGACUUAAUAACACUAACGUAAACGAGAUGCCGGGCAGCGCAACAUUCCAGUGAAAGUAAUGCAGAAAUGCUGUCUGAUAAUACCCGUCUGUCAUCCAGUUGAAUCCAGCAAUAAUUUGAUACCCUAAUUACACAGAGGCAAUGUCUCCGUUUCUCGAGAACACUUUUCCAUAACGCGAUCUUACAGCGAUAAUCGUAAUUCUUAGUGAGAUAUGGGAGUUGUGACAGACAGUCGUGGUGCUGUGAACUAAUUGCCCUGUCUAGCCAUGGACAUCAGACCGAGGACCUUAACUGUUGUUUGGGGCAUGGAACGGAGACAUUAGCGAGAGAGUGCUAUAUAAUAUGCUUGAAACAAGAACAACAAAAUAAAAGACGAUGGCAGCCUUUCUAACCAACGAAGUGUAAACGUCCAUGUAUUGAGUGUUUCCAGCAGACGAAAGACGUCGACGCUACCAUGGUCACCAGUAAGGCCGAAGGUCCAAUGAUACCAUUAAUUCAGAAGAUCUUUUGCCUUUCCUUAAGGAGCCAUUGAGACCCCACAACGUAAGGACAAUAUCUUACUUUGUGUCGUUGAAAGAAAUCAAGCGACCCCAGACACUUUUGCUGAUGGAUGGGUCUGCAAACAUUUCAGUGGAUCCAGGGCUUCGAUCUGUUGCCGUUACCAAAUUGAUGCAACGUUACAGACAGACAGGGCGGACCGUUAACAGGCCAAGAACAGGCAGACCCAGGGUGACCACGCCCCAUGAUGACCGGUACUUGCGUACCUUGCACCUCCGAAAUCGCUUCCUGACAGUGACGUCAUCGGCGACAAAUGCCUUAGAUCACAGGGUUAGUCGACAGACAGUGGCAAGGAGAUUAAGGGCUCAUUGAAUCAGGGCUUUUAGACCAUACAGAAGACAGCUAUUGACAGCGCAACAUCGUCGUCUGCGAUUGAGAUGGGCCCGGACUGUACGACGUUGGCAACGACGUGACUGGCAGAGGGUUGUCUUCACUGA